UAGUUUCGCAACUGAAUAUUCAUGACUUUCCUGUUUUGUUGCAGAUUAAGGCAGAAGAGUUGAAAUUUUUCGACCCUCAAUUAAAGUAAGGUCGCUCCCGGAGAAACAACAAAGAGUUUCAUCAAACAUUAUGGCUCCUUGGAACAUCAUAAGAUAUUUCUGAAGGUCAAGAAAAGUCUGUGACUGCAGUUUGAUGGUUGAAGCCCAAACAAACCUGACAACCAUGUUUCUACAAUUCAUAUUAAUUAUUAGUACUUGUUACUUUGGCGUUGCUUCAUCUUCAUAUUGUCCACUGAAUGAAUACAGAGCAGGAACGGAGUGUUGCCCAUCAUGUCCGCCUGGUAAAUAUCUGAACUGUUGUCACGCUGUUUGACUCUACAACGUAUACUAUCUACAAAUAAACAUAUACAGGAUAUACAGUUUACAAAUCUACAUAAAGACGGUCAACAAAU